rnacentral:misc_RNA from 1 species
UCAAACUUGGUCAUUUAGAGGAAGUAAAAGUCGUAACAAGGUCUCCGUUGGUGAACCAGCGGAGGGAUCAUUAAAAAUAGCGGAACGGUCCUCUGGGCCUGACCUCUUAACCCCUGUGAACAUUACCUGUUUCGUUGCUUCGGCAGGCGGCCCCAGGGCGGGGCUACCGCCUGUUCACUCAGGUGCCUGCCGAAGGAAACAUCUAAACUCGUUAUAUAUUGUCAUCUGAGUCUACUAGACAAAUAUCAAAACUUUCAACAACGGAUCUCUUGGUUCUGGCAUCGAUGAAGAACGCAGC